rnacentral:rRNA from 1 species
CACGGUGGAUGUCUUGGCAUCGAGAGGCGAUGAAGGACGCUGGAACCUGCGAUAAGCCCAGGGGAGUUGGUAACCGAGCUGUGAUCCUGGGAUUUCCGAAUGGGGCAACCCACCCGCAAGGGUACCUCACUCUGAAUGCAUAGGGGUGAGGAGCGAACGUAGGGAAGUGAAACAUCUCAGUACCUACAGGAAAGGAAAGCAACAGCGACUCCGCAAGUAGCGGCGAGCGAACGCGGAUCAGCCGGUAGAUGAGCGAAGCGUUUGAAUGACGCGCCGAAGAAGGUGAAAGCCCUGUAGCCGGAAACCGGUGAGGCCACGAGUAAAAUUCGGGCUCGGGAAACCCGGAUUGAACAUGGGGGUCCACCCUCCAAGCCUAAGUACUCCUCGAUGACCGAUAGCGAAUCAGUAAGGCGACUGAACGAUAAAAAGCACCGCGAUGAGCGGGGUGAAAAGUAUCUGAAACCGUGUGCUUACAAGCGGUCGGAGCCCUUCGGGGUGACGGCGUGCUUUUGCAUAAUGAGCCGGCGAGUUAGUCG